UACAGAGGGUGCGAGCGUUGUCCGGAAUCAUUGGGCGUAAAGGGCGCGUAGGUGGCCCGGUCAGUCGAUGGUGAAAGCGCGGGGCUCAACUCCGCGUCGGCCGUCGAUACUGCUGGGCUUGAGCACUGUAGAGGCAGGCGGAAUUCCGGGAGUAGCGGUGGAAUGCGUAGAGAUCCGGAAGAACACCGGUGGCGAAGGCGGCCUGCUGGGCAGUGGCUGACACUGAGGCGCGACAGCGUGGGGAGCAAACAGG
rnacentral:rRNA from 1 species